CCCUGCUUGCACCCGAUCCCUCACAGACCGAGAGAGCGUACACAAGCACAGGUCCAGAGAGAGAGAGAGGGAGACGAUCAAGCGUUCUCGAGGGCGGGCAGCGGGCGUUGGAUACCAUGGAUCCACCACCACCACCACCACCCUCAGCGUCGUCAGAGCCACCACCUGUGGCGGCGGCUUCGCCAUCUCAAGCGGCGCAACCACCAUCUCCGGCCCCAAGCCCAGCACAACCCCCACCCUCCUCCACCCCUUCAACGCCCGCCGAAACCCUCACUCCCCCUACCUCCUCCUCCUCCUCCUCGGCCCCUUCCCCCACCCAAAACCCUUCAACCCCUCCCCAACCCCUAUCCCAACCCCAGCCAUCUCCCCAGCAGCAAUCCCAAACCCAGCCCCCAUCAAUUCAGCCGCAGCAGAGGCCGCCUCUGAAUCGGAGCCGACCGCAAACACCUUACGCCCACUUUGCCCACCACCUUCCCUCCGCUCCCACCUCCUCCUCUGGGCCUCCUUCUUCUAUCGCUUCUCCCUCGCCCUCUCCGGCCCCAAUGCAGAGGGGUGGGCUCGCCAUCGGGGUGCCUGCCCACAACCCCCACCAUCCAAGGCCCCAGCAGCCGCCUUUAUCCUUCUCCACUUUUAGCCCAUCACCGCCAUUCAGCCAGCCAUUUAGUUCAACGCCUCGGGUGCCCGAGCAGUCCCCGACAUCCAGUUCCCAGGUCAGACAGCCUGUUCAAGGGAUUCAAAACAUCGGAAUGAUCGGGGCUCUUAGUGCUGGUUCUCAAAUACGGCCAAGUGUGAUGUCUGGAUCUCAACAACAGAGAUUUGGUCAGCCACCUUUGAGAUCAGCAUCUCCAUCAGCUAACCAAACUUUAAAUUCACAGAAAUUUCCAAGCCACGGCUUGCCAAGAACCCCUUCCAUGGCUUCUCCUAGUUCUCCAUCACCUGUAUCACAAAGUCAAUCUCUACAGCAGCAAUUGUCCUCGGCACAAGGAAAGCAAAUGCAUGCACCUUCCGCACCUUCCUCAUCAUAUAGGCCCUCAGUGAAGCCCCAUGUUUUGCAGCAAAGGCCACACCAUCUCCAACAGCAUCAGCAUUCUCUUCCAAUGACUUCGCAUCAACAACAAAUACCAUCAUCUCAACAACAGCAGCAACAGAAGCAACAACAACAACUGCAACUGCAGCAACAUCAACAACAGGCUUCAUUAUCACAUCAGUCACAUGAGCACCAUAAUCAACAGUAUGUAGCGCUUAGAAACCAGCAAUCAGUAACUCAACAACAACAGGCUGUGCGAGCUCUUGGGUCAACAGUUCAAAAGUCAAAUGUUCCAGGACAGGGGCAAUCUGGUGUGGUUCAAUCUGGGAAUAUCAGUCCAGUUGUUAAUGCAGAUGAUGCAGAAUCUGGUAAUCAUGUUCUUAGCAAGAGAAGCCUCCGUGAAUUGGUUGCCCAGAUUGAUCCAUUUGAGAAACUGGAUUCUGAAGUUGAAGAUGUUCUUGUUGAGGUUGCUGAGGAUUUCAUUGAAUCUGCAGGUAACAACGUUUGCUUGCUCCUUGGCUAAGCAUCGAAAAUCAACUACAUUAGAAGCAAAAGACAUACUCCUUCAUGUAGAGAGAAAUUGGAAUAUGACACUACCUGGUUUCGGUGGAGAUGAGAUCAAGUGCUAUAAGAAGCAGUUCACAAAUGAUAUUCACAAGGAGAGGAUUGCUGUGAUUAAGAAGUCAAUGGUAGCAACAAGUGAUGCUGGGAAUCCGAAGAAUCCUGCUGCUGGGCAGGCUGCUUCAAAUGCGAAAGCUCAUGCAGCCAAGGCACCUGCAAUUGGAUCUCCAAAGACUCAUUAGCUUUAGUGGGCCAUUGGAGAAGCUUCUGAAUUACUUGAGUUUCUAGAGAACGGUCUCAGCAGUACGAUCUUGCAUGAUUUGUUCUUGUGUGUGUUGCUAGCCCUUUUGUUCUUUAGAGGUUGGAGUCGUGACAUAUUAACCAAAGUUAAAUAGAGCAACUAUAUGAGAUGUAUAAGGUGACCAAUGUUUAUCUGUAUGAAAUUUUAUCAAUGUGCAAUGCAAAGAUCAGAACUUAUUCAUUGCUUGGGAAUA